rnacentral:misc_RNA from 1 species
UCCGAGUUGACCCCGGCAGUCUCCUGCGAGUCCCCGCCAUUACGCGCUGGCAACACAGGACAAGGGUUGCGCUCGUUGCGGGACUUAACCCAACAUCUCACGACACGAGCUGACGACGGCCAUGCAGCACCUUGCUUUGUGUCCCGAAGGAAAGCCCCAUCUCUGGAGCGGUCACGCGCAUUCUAGCCUAGGUAAGGUUCCUCGCGUAUCAUCGAAUUAAACCACAUGCUCCGCCGCUUGUGCGGGCCCCCGUCAAUUCCUUUGAGUUUCACCCUUGCGGGCGUACUCCCCAGGUGGAUUACUUAACGCUUUCGCUAAGACGCCGACUGUUUAUCGCCGACGUCUAGCCCACAUCGUUUAUGGCGUGGACUAC